rnacentral:rRNA from 1 species
AGCAGCCGCGGUAAUUCCAGCUCCAAUAGCGUAUAUUAAAGUUGUUGCAGUUAAAAAGCUCGUAGUUGAAAUUCGAAAUUUGUCCUAUGGUCGGGCUUUACGGUCCGUACAGUAGUGGCGAAUUUCUACCUUCUGAAGAACCUUCAUGUCAUUAAUUUGGUGUGUUGGGAAAUCAGGACUGUUACUUUGAAAAAUUAGAGUGUUUAAAGCAGGCUUAAGUCUGAAUACAUUAGCAUGGAAUAAUGAAAUAGGACGGAUUGGUUCUAUUUUGUUGGUUUCUAGGAUCACCGUAGUGAUUAAUAGGGAUAGUUGGGGGCAUUAGUAUUCAAUUGUCAGAGGUGAAAUUCUUGGAUUUAUUGAAGACUAACUUCUGCGAAAGCAUUUGCCAAGGAUGUUUUCAUUAAUCAAGAACGAAAGUUAGGGGAUCGAAGACGAUCAGAUACCGUCGUAGUCUUAACCAUAAACUAUGCCGACUAGGGAUCGGACGAGGUUAAUUUUUAGAUGACUCG